ACGAACGCUGGCGGCGUGCCUAAUACAUGCAAGUCGAACGGUCUUUCUAUGGAAGCUUGCUUCCACUGAGAAGAUAGUGGCGAACGGGUGGAGUAACACGUGGGUAACCUGCCCAUAAGAGGGGGAUAACAUCCGGAAACGGGUGCUAAUACCGCAUAGUUUUCUUGAUCGCAUGAUUGAGAAAGGAAAGACGGCCUUUGUGCUGUCGCUUAUGGAUGGACCCGCGGCGUAUUAGUUAGUUGGUGAGGUAAUGGCUCACCAAGACGAUGAUACGUAGCCGACCUGAGAGGGUGAUCGGCCACAUUGGGACUGAGACACGGCCCAAACUCCUACGGGAGGCAGCAGUAGGGAAUCUUCCGCAAUGGACGAAAGUCUGACGGAGCAACGCCGCGUGAGUGAAGAAAAGGUUUUCGGAUCGUAAAACUCUGUUGUCAGAGAAGAACAAGUUGGAGAGUAACUGCUCCAGCCUUGACGGUAUCUGACCAGAAAGCCACGGCUAACUACGUGCCAGCCGCAGC
rnacentral:rRNA from 1 species